UUCGCAAUGCCCGAAAGGGUGACGAAGCGACGCCGCGUGCGGGAAGAAGGCCUUCGGGUUGUAAACCGCUGUCGGGAGUUAGGAAAUGCAAGGAUGUUAAUAGCGUCUUUGCUUGACUAAGGCUCCGGAGGAAGCCACGGCUAACUCUGUGCCAGCAGCCGCGGUAAUACAGAGGCGGCAAGCGUUGUUCGGAAUUAUUGGGCGUAAAGAGCACGUAGGCGGCUGUGUAAGUCGGUUGUGAAAGCCUUCCGCUCAACGGGAGAACGGCAUCCGAUACUGCAUGGCUCGAGUGCGGGAGGGGAGAGUGGAACUUCUGGUGGAGCGGUGAAAUGCGUAGAUAUCAGAAGGAACACCGGCGGCGAAGGCGACUCUCUGGCCCGUAACUGACGCUGAGUGUGCGAAAGCUAGGGGAGCAAACGGGAUUAGAUACCCCGGUAGUCCUAGCCGUAAACGAUGGGCACUAAGUAGAGGGGUUUU
rnacentral:rRNA from 2 species